UACGUAGGGUGCAAGCGUUUGUCCGGAAUUAUUGGGCGUAAAGAGCUCGUAGGCGGUCUGUCGCGUCUGGUGUGAAAACUCAGGGCUUAACCCUGAGCUUGCAUCGGGUACGGGCAGACUAGAGUGCGGUAGGGGAGACUGGAAUUCCUGGUGUAGCGGUGAAAUUCGUAGAUAUCGGGAGGAACACCAGUGGCGAAGGCGGCGAUCUGGGCAGAUACUGACGCUGAUGUGCGAAAGCGUGGGGAGCAAACAGG
rnacentral:rRNA from 1 species